rnacentral:rRNA from 1 species
ACGAACGCUGGCGGCAUGGAUUAGGCAUGCAAGUCGAACGGUGAAGUCCAGCUUGCUGGACGGAUCAGUGGCGAAAGGGUGAGGAACACGUGAGGAACCUGCCCUCAAGUUCGGAAUAACUUCCCGAAAGGGGUGCUAAUACCGGAUGCGGAUAGGGGGUCGCAUGACCCCCGUUCCAAAGGUUUACCGCUUGAGGAUGGCCUCGCGCUCCAUUAGCUAGUUGGUGAGGUAACGGCCCACCAAGGCUAUGACGGAUAGCUGGUCUGAGAGGAUGACCAGCCACACUGGGACUGAGACACUGCCCAGACUCCUACGGGAGGCUGCAGUCGAGAAUCUUCCGCAAUGCGCGAAAGCGUGACGGAGCAAUGCCGCGUGCAGGAUGAAGGCCCUCGGGUCGUAAACUGCUGUCACUGGGAACGAAUAAAUUGACGGUACCCGGAGAGGAAGCCACGGCUAACUACGU